rnacentral:misc_RNA from 1 species
UCUCCGUUGGUGAACCAGCGGAGGGAUCAUUAAAGAGUUGCAAAACUCCCAAACCCUUGUGGACAUACCCGUUACAGUUGCUUCGGUAGGCGGCCCCAGGCAGGGGCCGCAGCCUCUUCUCACGAGGCGCCCGCCUGAGGUAUAUAACUCUUUGUAUUGUGGUCUCUCUGAGUAAAUUUAUAAUAAGUCAAAACUUUUAACAACGGAUCUCUUGGUUCUG